UUGUUAUCAUUGCCUGUCAGAUUUGCCACAUAUUGGUUCCACAGAAUGGGGAAAGCUUUACCACCAUCUAAAUGAUCAGCAAACAGAAUUGAUAAACACAUGUGACCAGUUCAGAAGAAAUGCUCUAAUAAUGUCUGAAUGACUAAAGAUACACACCUGUGUAAUAAACUGUAAAGGUAUGAAUAAAUAUCUGUAUAGCCUCUGAUUUAUUCAUGAGUGUGAGUUCCAUUUUUACAUGUCAUUCCGAUCCGAGUGCCACAUAUUUUAUUAUUAUCUGAAUUGUAAUAAAAAUUUAACAAACAUGUGGGUUACUUGAUAAUACGUAAUGAGUCGGUUCAGUUAGACUGACUACUGAUAUGAUUCUUAUACAUCAUAUGCAUUUCUUAUCUAGAAUGUAAAAAUAGACAAAUUGAGAUAAUAUAUAUAACCAAGUUGGUAAGAUAACGGCAAGUAAAAGAUGAGGCAAAUCUUUAAAGGAAAAAUAGAAAGAAAGAACAGCUUGAUAAGAAUUGAAGUUGAGAGACAGGAUGCCAAGUACUUGGUUGAUAUCACCCUCGAGCAUAAGAGAAAGAGGCACGAGACCAGUUAGUCCAAGAAAAAACAAACAAAUUCAAUUGAAAUUAACUGUCAGGAUCUUCUUCAUAAAAUACGAAUACUCCAUUGAAGCCAUUAAGAGCUUCAACUCUUUAGGACUACUAAGCUUAUCGUGGCUAUACACCCUUCUUCAUGUAGGCUCAAAUUACAGUGUUGUUACUGUGUUAUGUCAAAAACUGGAUUUCCAGUUACAUGGAAGUAUGGAACAGGAAAAAUUACCAAACCCUGCGGUUCAGUAAGUGAGUUUACCUCGACAACCUUGGCUAAAACAAGGGAGUCAACAUCACUGGAUGCUUUGACAGUUUCCAGAGCUCCACAACUGCCACCUUGAGAGUCUGAGACACCUCUGGGAAUUGCAUGGAUGCAACAUCAUCUAAAUGGUCUGCGUUAACAGUUCCAAGUUUCAGACAUAAUUGACUGUAUCAACCUAUGUCAGAAUGAAAAUUCAGUAGCAACUUCACGAGAAGAAAAAAAACAGUACUAGAAGAUACAACAGAAGUUAAUGGCACUUGUUAAAGGAGUACUGUAAUUUAAAGCUUGAUAUUGGUCAUUUACAUUGUUUUUCCUCAAUACCACAUGGUAUGAUGCACCUUUUAAAAUGUUAUUCAUUGAGGUCUACAGGUCAGUAGAUUGAUUACUAACACCAAAAAUUUGCAUGUUCUAGAAGUGUUGUUUUGCACUGAACUAAAAUAUUUGGAACCUUUCUUUAGAGUACAAUGACCAGAGAAACUUCAUAAUGUAGAAUUCAAAGGAGGUACUUCAUUAAUCAAAGGAGAGUUUUUACUAGGUGGGUAGAACUUGGAAGUUCCUCAGACCUUGUGUAUAAACUUUUUGCUACAUCAAACCAAUAUUCCUGCUCACAUUCUAUCGCAUUUGGAUAAAUGAAAUGACUUCAUUUACACCAAACUUAUUCGCCAGAACAAAUAAAAGAGAAAUAUCGAUGAAAAUCAUUUGAUAAAAUAAUCUAUACACAUUAGACGGUAGUAUGAAAAUUCAAUUGGUAACUAUAAUUUGAUUGUGUUUUGUAAUUGUUCUGGAAUGCAAAAUGCAUAUAUGGCUGGUUUUUAGCUACUUUGUUCCAUAGUAGAAUGUGGAUACUCUAGCCUUUCUUUUUUCGUUUUUUUCCCCUGCUGAAUCAGGACUGAAUUAAAAUAUAACUUCCAUCUCCAGGAUAAGGUUUAAUGUCCCCAAAUGUAAUCAAUAAUUCUUAAGAGUCAUUCCAUACUAAAGAAUGAAGCAGUUGAAAACUGACAAAAUUUGGCAUAUAUGUUUUUGAAAUUUUUAUUUUAUAUGAAUGAUAGACCCUGUAUUUUAUACAGUUAUGGGACCAGCUCUCAGACUUGUUUUGGACUUUCCUUCACAGCUUAGUGCAUCUUAAACAUACUAUUCUUCAUCCUUAUCUUCCUUUAUUUUGAUCUAAAGUGGGUGGCACACCUUGUCAAUGUCGGGGUUGUAUUUUGAUGUAUCCUUUUUGCUUGUAUUAAAACCUAGCGAAAACCGCUGAAACGCAAAAGGAUUGUCUCAUUUGGCUUCAUAGUUUGAUACUUUUUAUCAUGUGUGUUCCAUGUUUAUUCAGAAGCGUUUUUGUUGUUGAAUUACUUCUCUAUGUAGAAAGUUAACUCAAGAUUCCUAUUCUACAUUCUUUUAUGAAUUAGUUUGUGUUUAGUAGAGAAUGUCUCACAUGCUCAUGCAUCAUUCCUUACUUUAUGUAAGUAACAGCUAAAACAUUGCAGAAUUUUAAAAUGUUGUGAAUACUCCUAUAUGAUAGUACAUUCGCAUUACUAUGAUAAAUGUGUUAGUUAAAAACUUAAAACUGUAUUAGGCAGCAGAGUAAUCCCGAAAUACUGUUUAAAAAGAAAUAGGAUACAAAUGCCCUCUUUAUAUUAAAAAUUCAAAGUGUGCUAUAUACAAAUACAUAUAUAUAUAUAUAUAUAUAUAUAUAUUCACAUGGGAUAAGAUGCUCUCAGAGAAGAUUAUAAACAUUGAAGAUAUAGAAUGACAAAAGAUUUGAAAGGUUUUGACUCUCUUUAGGCAGUGCUAUCUAUAUUUUUUGACAUGGAAGAUUUCCCUCUAUACAUUGAAAGUUUGAGACUUUUCAGUUGUAUCCACCUUUCAUAAGCCACUCUAUGCUUUUGCCCUGGUUUUCUACGUUUAGAAAGUUCAAUUCUGCAGAGGGUUAUGGAUGUAAUUGUGGUGGUCAUGAUGUUGGUUGGUAUUUUUUUGGUUCUGUUGGUGUUGCUUAAGAGAGCAGACGACUGGUUCUAUGAAAGAAAGUUGGGUGAUAAGAAGUUUUCUCUUCCUACAGGUGAUAUGGGGUGGCUUUUGAUUGGUAAUAUGUGGUCUUUUCUUAAGGCAUUCAAAUCUAAGGACCCUGAGUCCUUCAUCAACAGCUAGGUCCUGAAUUUAGACAAAUUCAUUUGAAUUAGGGGUAUAAUGCGUAGUCAAACUUUGAAUGGAUGGAAACUUGGGGGUUGCUUAACGGAAGGGGGUUAACGCCAAUGUUGGACAACAUUGGGGGGUUCACGCCAAAGCCGGUCAAAACUUGGGGGGUUAUGACCAAUUUUCCCAAUACUAUGAGAAGAGAUGCUCUACUUAAAAAAGAAUCCAGAAAUUGAAGAUACAGACAAAACUUUCCAAGAAGCUCACCACAUUACUUACAUAUAGGUUACAUAGUAUGGGUUUUCUUCUCUCCAUGUUUUGGAAAAAGGGUUAUAACUUGUAAUGGUAAUGGAGAUGGUUAAGGAGGAAGUACUAAUUUAUUGGUUGCUGUUGGUGUUCACAGUGUUGGUUGGUGGUUUGAUGGUUUUGGUAGGAUUGCUUAAGAAAGCAAAUGAGUGGUUCUAUGAAAGUAAGUUAGGUGAUAAGAAGUUUUCUCUUCCUCCAGGUGAUAUGGGGUGGCCUUUGAUUGGUAAUAUGUUGUCUUUUCUUAAGGCUUUCAAGUCUAAAGACCCUAAUUCCUUCAUCAAUGGCUAUGUCAAGAGGUUAGCCUUGUUAAGCUUUAAUCACUGUAUAUUUCUAGCUUAGUUUCUUACUAUGGGUGUAGAUUGAUUCUUACAGACUGCUGUUUAGAAUUCAAAUUGUGAAGUAGCACUAGCAUAUACCGAUAACUAACUAACUAACAAUACUUUGUUAACUUAUGACAUUGUCAUCAAUGCAGAUUUGGAAAAAUUGGAAUAUACAAGAGCUUCAUGUUUGGAAAUCCAACUGUUCUUAUUACAGUGCCUGAAUUAAGCAAGCAAGUCCUUACAGACAGCAAAAGAUUUAAACCUGGUUGGCCACAAUCCACAUAUAAACUUAUGGGCAAGAAAUCGUUUUUAGCCAUUACCGAUGAUGAACACAAGCGACUCCGCAAGUUAACAGCUGAUCCUAUUAAUGGUCAUGAAGCUUUAUCUGUGUAUCUUGAGUACAUCGAAGAGGCUGUAGUAUCUACAUUAGAGAAAAUGCCAAAUAUGGGAGAAAUUGAAUUCUUAACUGAAAUUAGAAAGCUUGCAUUCCGAAUAAUCAUGUACAUAUUUGUCGGUGAAGGAGGCAAUGCCGUGAUGGAGGAUCUUGAGAAGGAGUAUACAACCCUUAAUUAUGGCUUAAGAGCCAUGGCGAUUAACCUACCUGGUUUUGCUUAUUAUAAAGCACUCAAGGUGAGUUUAGCUGCUUCUGUCAUUACUAUAAUGUGAUUCAGUUGUGAUUCUUUCAUUCUUGCUUUUAUUUUUGUUGACAUUGAAAUAAGUUCCCUUUGUUACUUAGGCCCGAAAAAGGCUGGAUGAAAUUUUCCAAUCAGUUGUGAAUGAAAGGAGGGCAAAACGGGAGAAACAUGGGACUCCUGCAAAGAAAGAUCUGAUGGAUAAUUUACUGGACAUCAAAGAUGAAAAUGGUAAAAAUUUAGAUGAUGAAGAGAUAAUCGAUAUACUGAUCAUGUACUGGAACGCUGGCCAUGAAUCUUCUGCUCAUGUCACCAUGUGGGCAACUGUUUACUUGCAAGAGCAUCCUUAUAUUUUCGAGAAAGUCAAGGUAAAGCUAGAGCUCAACCAUAGUUGUUUGGUAAAUGUUAAUUAUUUUAUUUCGUGUGAGUUUUGAGUCUACCCUUUGUAUACAUAGAUAUGACCUUGCAUGUGUGGCAUGCCACCCGCAACAGUGCCAGGUUUUUAGUUAUCUCAUGUGAACUCUCCACUGGAGACCUUAAAAGGGUCUCUAUCCUAAAAAUUUGAGGGUGAACAACAAAAAUGGCACUGCAAAUGUCCUCGGUAUGCUCCCUCAUAUAUGAAGUUAAUUUGUGGGUGAACAAAUAUAGCACUGCAACGCCUCCUCCCUCUGCUAUCUCAUGUGGCCUCACAAUAGCCUUCAAGUCCGACAUGGCCCCUUAAAUAUGAUGUUUGUCACUGGAGAUGGCCUAACAACUCAGGUUCUGAGAUAGGCUUUAAAGAGAAACCGAUCUGUCUAACCUUUUCCUGUUGAAGUCUAUAGAGAACUAACACACCUGUAGUAAUUAUGACGAUAUAUUGGGUAGAAUAGGAGCAUGUUUCUGAUCAUCGCACUCAAGAUUGUGCCUGCCUAAUCCAAAACUUCUGGCUUGAGCAGAACACAUGAAUUCCUUUUUCAAGAAUCUUAUACCCGUUCAACUAUCCAUAAAUAGUAGGUCUGGAGAGAAAAAUAACAUGAUUCCUUUAAUCCUUUCUUUUCAUCUUUUAUUUGCAUGUGUGUCCCCUGACAAGAGUACUCUUACAAGCCUAACGACUUGUUCAUCUCCAUUAUUUUCUUGACAUCAUUCCCUUUUCCCUCUAACACCAAUACCAUUUCCACAAUGAGUUCAAACAAUUAGCUGCGUUAAAUCCUUUCGUGAUGCCUGAACCAAGCAAUAGUCUUUGGAAUUAUCACAGAAUACUUGAGAAAAAGUCAUUUGAUUCUCCUAGCUUGGGUUUAAAUUGAGACAUCAUAAAUACAACCUUCAAAUUAUGUAUUCAACUUUACUUUAAGCCUUCCUCUCUUCGAAAACUUAUUUAAAAUUAUAAAACAAUUAAUUGUGGCUUCCUAAUAAUAACUUAGUUGGUGAACAAUUUGUGACUUGAAUGUUGCUACCUAACUGGCUUCCACAUUUUUAGGCUGAGCAAGAAGAGAUUGCAAAGAACAGGCCAUCAACGCAGAAAGGACUGAUACUAAAGGAAAUCAAACAAGCGGGGUAUCUUUCUAAGGUAUAUGCCAGUCACCUUAGCGAACUUAAGCUACUAGUGUUUUACACUUUCCAAGGUAUAUGCCAGUCACUUUACUAAGAUAUCUGUUUUAAAGGUGAUUGAUGAAAGUCUACGCUUUCUUAAUAUGUCAAAUAUGGUUUUCCGCGAGGCAAAAGAAGAUGUCACCAUUAAUGGCGAGUAAACAUUAUUUAUAUCUCCUUUUGUUCCCCCAUAGUAGGUGAUCAUUUAUGAACUAGAUAAAAAUGGGAUUUUCUAUUGAACAGGUUAUCUCAUACCAAAAGGAUGGAAGGUUCAGGUUUGGAUGAGGAGCAUUCACACGGAUCCUGAAGUUUACCCUGAUCCAAAAUCAUUUAAUCCAUCUAGAUGGGAUGUAAGUCAAUAAAUUCUUUUAAUUGUUUGUUGUACAGAAGCAUGUAUAUAGAGGCAUAAAAAGUUUAAUAUUCUGCUAUAUAAUAUGCUCUAUGAUUAAAUAUGUGCAGGGAUAUAUACCAAAAGCAGGAACAUUCAUUCCAUUCGGAUUGGGAAGCAGGUUCUGCCCUGGAUAUGACCUGGCUAAACUAGAGGUCUUUGUUUUCCUACACCAUUUUGUCCUCAAUUACCGGUAAUCUGCUCCUGCUACUUCAGGUUUCUUAUCUCUCAGGUCUCAGCUAAUUUAAAAUAGUAAAAAUACUCGUAUUUUCAGGAUUUAUAUUUGAAGGUUGCACUUGAGGAAGAAUUGUUCUUACAUGCUGUUGCUUAUUUAUUAUUUAUUAUUUUUUGUUUAGUUAAAUAAAAAACCCCUCAAUUUACGAAUAAAUCAAACACAAAUAGACUUGAACAGUGGCACCAGGUGGUAAAAGCAUAGAUCUCUACUCUAUGGCCUCUAAAAGUCCAUGUCUGAAACACGUAAUAGGUUUAUGAUGUCGCCGAAGACAUUGCAAAUUUACGCUAUAAGGAGCACCUAGGUGUUGUUGGCUUGUUGCUUAAGAUAAAAGGAAUAUUAAUCCUAAUCUUCCAUGUGCAGGCUGGAAAGGCUCAAUCCGAAAUGCCCAAUACUAUAUUUGCCCCAUACAAGGCCUCGCGAUAAUUGCUUAGCACGAAUCAGUAAAAGCUCAACAUCUAUGUAACAUGUGAGGCUUGUAAAUAUUGCUUUUUGCUUUUUUCCUAAAAAAAAUAUGAAAUUGAGUUCUUAGACAUGCGUUUGUUAUCAUUGCCUGUCAGAUUUGCCACAUAUUGGUUCCACAGAAUGGGGAAAGCUUUACCACCAUCUAAAUGAUCAGCAAACAGAAUUGAUAAACACAUGUGACCAGUUCAGAAGAAAUGCUCUAAUAAUGUCUGAAUGACUGAAGAUACACACCUGUGUAAUAAACUGUAAAGGUAUGAAUAAAUAUCUGUAUAGCCUCUGAUUUAUUCAUGAGUGUGAGUUCCAUU
rnacentral:lncRNA from 1 species